GAUUGACAUGGCAAGUCCGAUAGCAGGUGGCAAACUUAAACCGUUACCUAAUGAAGAGCAAAGUCGCUCUUAACAGGGGAGGACAUUUUGACUUUCAACGCGUCUUUAUUCAGAAGGUCAUCCGGUUCUUGAAAUUGCGUAAUGGAGUUUAUGAGCGGCAAACAUUUGGCCAAGCGACGGCGCAGCCGGUCGAAACAUUCGAGCGACUCGCACGCGGUCGUGCCUUGUUAGCGGCAGACGGCACGGGCGGACUCAACUGGGAUUUGCAGCCUCGCGUCACCAAUCCCGUUACAAGCAGAUGUGAGCGUCUGCUAACAGGCACGUGAUGGCCUUGCCGCUAUUCAGUCUGCAACUUUGGUUCUGCUCGCCAACUCUGUUACAUCAAAGUUCCUGAGGCCACAGAGCAGGAGAGGCUUAAAGCUCCGAAGGCUCUGUCAGUGGUGCGCCCUGCAACAAGACCUGCGCAGCUUCUAUUCCUGACUGGUGCAUAGAGAAGCCGGCCGGACAUUCUUUCUUGAGGGCAAUGCAGCCCGCGCAAAUGGUUAUUUGUGUAGUUGCCAGGAGAUGGCGCUUGGUGAACGGGCUUCUCCAAAUUCAAAUUAAAUCAGUCAGACAUUCACCGUUAGUCGCUUUGCGCUUUACUAUUUUCUUUCGCAGAGCUGAAAACAGGGCAGCCGCUCCUGACACAAGCGCUUUGGCGUGACCGUGUCAAAGCCAGCAAAACCUCUGGAAGACAAAUGGUGAUUUAUUUUGAAACCUCUUGUCCGCGCCGGUCUCCAGUUGGCCAGAUGCCCGAAAGCGGGAAACGCAGCAGGAAAAGAUGGGGGGGAGGGGGGCCUACGACGUGACCCUACAAGGCCAACCAUCACGCUCGGAUCGCAUAUCGGCUCGCCUUUGCGCAUAUUAACGCCACAUGGGUGUUCCAUGUAUACGAUUUUAGCACCGUCUUUUGGAUGGCCAAUCUCAACACUGGCUAAAGUCUUGAGAAGAGUGCACGAGGACGCUAAACGCUCGCCGACGUGUCAACGUUUUCAGGAUUGCCGAGCGGAAUCACCGGAGAUCCUCCGAGUUGUAACUAGGAUUGAAAAGACGUCUUCCUAAGCAGGGCUCUCCUUUUACACGCAAAGAGCAGACUCAUCAUAUGCCGCGGACAGCUGACACUGCAGCAACGCCUGGGAGCCGUGUAAUCAGAGGCCCGGCAGCUUAUUCCGAGCAUGCAAAUAGAGCUGACGAGCCGGGUGGCCGACGUUUGCCUCAGCCGCACUUUGACGGCAACCCUCCCAACCUAUGGGGGGAAAACGAAAAUGAAACGCCGCCCCUCCUGGGUGCAAACCUUUUUUGGAAAACGCCUGGGAGUGGGUUAACAUGGGGCAGUCCAGCGGUUUAAUGUUAAGCUCCUUAACGCAGUCGUAUCGGUUACCUUGUGGAGUCACAAUCAUGAAGCGCUACCAGAAUGCUGUAAGCAGAAAUUCUGAUGUCUGUACAAGCGUAAAUAUGAAGACUCCAAAGAAUAUAUUAUGGAGCUCUACAGAUUCAUUAUUAAAAGGCAAAUCCAUUGUGGGAAA